rnacentral:rRNA from 1 species
AACGUAGGUUCCGAGCGUUAUCCGGAUUUACUGGGCGCAAAGCGUGUUCAGGCGGCUCAGCAAGUCGGGCAUGAAAUCUCUCGGCUCAACCGGGAGAGGCUGUCCGAUACUGCUGGGCUUGAGGGCAGUAGAGGGUGGUGGAAUUCCGGGUGUAGUGGUGAAAUGCGUAGAUAUCCGGAGGAACACCAGUGGCGAAAGCGGCCACCUGGACUGUACCUGACGCUCAAACACGAAAGCUAGGGGAGCGAACGGG